rnacentral:rRNA from 1 species
UACGGGGGGAGCAAGCGUUGUUCGGAUUUACUGGGCGUAAAGGGCGCGUAGGCGGCGUGACAAGUCACUUGUGAAAUCUCCGGGCUUAACUCGGAACGGUCAAGUGAUACUGUCGUGCUAGAGUACAGAAGGGGCAACUGGAAUUCUCGGUGUAGCGGUGAAAUGCGUAGAUAUCGGGAAGAACACCCGUGGCGAAGGCGGUUCUCUGGGACGGUACUGACGCUGAGACGCGAAAGCGUGGGGAGCGAACAGG